rnacentral:tRNA from 1 species
GGAUCUGUGGCUCAGUGGUACAGCAUCUGCUUGGCAUGGAGAAGGCCACAGGUUCAAUCCCUGGCGUCUCCA